UUUUAUGGAGAGUUUGAUCCUGGCUCAGGAUGAACGCUGGCGGCGUGCCUAAUACAUGCAAGUCGAGCGAACGGACGAGAAGCUUGCUUCUCUGAUGUUAGCGGCGGACGGGUGAGUAACACGUGGAUAACCUACCUAUAAGACUGGGAUAACUUCGGGAAACCGGAGCUAAUACCGGAUAAUAUUUUGAACCGCAUGGUUCAAAAGUAAAAGACGGUCUUGCUGUCACUUAUAGAUGGAUCCGCGCUGCAUUAGCUAGUUGGUAAGGUAACGGCUUACCAAGGCAACGAUGCAUAGCCGACCUGAGAGGGUGAUCGGCCACACUGGAACUGAGACACGGUCCAGACUCCUACGGGAGGCAGCAGUAGGGAAUCUUCCGCAAUGGGCGAAAGCCUGACGGAGCAACGCCGCGUGAGUGAUGAAGGUCUUCGGAUCGUAAAACUCUGUUAUUAGGGAAUAACAUAUGUCUAAGUAACUGUGCACAUCUUGCCGGUACCUAAUCAGAAAGCCCCGGCUAACUACGUGCAGGCAUCCGCGAUAAUACGUAGGUGGCAAGCGUUAUCCGGAAAUCUUGGGCAUAAAGCGCGCUUAGGCGGUUUUUUAAGUCUGAUGUGAAAGCCCACGGCU
rnacentral:rRNA from 1 species